ensembl:lncRNA
CAAGUUGGCUUUGGAAAAUGACAAACUUCGCAGUCUGGUGCUGGAAGAAUUAGAAGGGCUUGAAACGUGGGAAAAUAAUGGAGAAACAGCUUUGAAGUGGUUAUUCAUCUCCUUCAAAUACACCCACCGGACAACUGGGACAGAUACAAGCCGCAAAGGGAGGUACCUCCCAUGGUCAGCCCUGCAGAAGUUAGAAAGGAGUGGGGAGAAGAAAUGGUGGAGCUGGCAACAUCUUUGUGAUCUCUCAAGUGGAUCCACAGCCCAGGUGGAGCAUCCUGUUCUACUAAAGGUUGUAGAAACAUUUCUAUCCCACCUCUUUGUCUUUGGGCUGAGUCCAGAAAACUUCAGUGACAUCUGGGAAAAAAGUGAUGAAACUGUACCUGAACAACAACAUUAAAAUGUAGCUUGCUGGCAGCAUGGGCUGUGUUAUGUGAGGUCUGCCUGUUCCUGCUUUACCCAGAGAGCACCAAGAGCAAGCUGGACAUGUCCUCAGAUGGCUGCAGAAGUCAGGUUGUGAGAGCUGCACCGUGGCAGGUGAAUUGCAACAUGUUAAUCUCACUGAAGCAAAGGCCAAAUUAUCAACAGAAAAUCUCAGUGUAUGGAAGACUUGAUUGAGAGGGGCAGGUGUCCACUGGUUGAUACCUGGAGGAAAGAGAGUUCUUCUUUUAGUGUGCAGUAAGUGCUGCUGCCUUAUUCACACAUGGGGGAAGGCAUCUCACAAGUGACCUUACAAAUGAGAAGAAAUUUCUAAGCAACACUGAAGUUUUAUCGAGGAAGCUUCUACCAAAAUAGACUGUGGUUUGCACGCUGCUUGUGAACAUUUACUGAAAGUUUGUAUUGCAGCAGGUGGCAAAAUACAACAUGUGAUAUUGUUCCUGUCUUCUGUCAGAAUGGAUUAUGAGUAACCAGAAAAUUUGGGCAUUUGGAUUUGAAAAGAAGUUAUCUGCUGAAAUUCAAAGACAAAUUUCCAUAUGUUACAAAAUUGAAAUCAAAAUUCCAUAAGGCACUCGCUCCAUCCCUCCAGCCAUCAUCCCAAAAGCAAAGGGGUUCAGUUUGUUCAGGUGGAGCUCGCUUUCUCCACCCCCAGUGCCAGCAAAUCUGUUUGGUGUGGGAGGACGGUGGAGCGUGCCGCCCACAGCCACCUGCUCUGCCGGAGGGCCCGCAGCCUUGCCAGCACUGUGCCAAGGCACCAGCUCGGGGUGGGAGUCUGCAGGAGGCACGGAUCAGCUGGGAGGUGUGCUGCUCUGCUUCUCCCUUGCUUGCGGAUGACCUUUGCUGAUAAAGAUUAGCCAGAGGCUUUUGGAACAUCACAUAGCACUGGAUACUGGGACUGACGAUGAAGUCAUCCUGAGGGGAGCCUGAGGAACUAACUGCUGCUUUAUGCUUCACUUAAGAAGGCAGCAGUGUGUAUGCGUGUGUGUGACUGGGGGUGAUACGUUCUAUAUUUGGGAAAAGUUACUUAAUCCUUCAACUUCAGUGCACCAGGAAGCAUAUAUUUGGAUUUUAAAAAAUGACUCCACGGUGUCUCCCCAUUUCCUAGUUGAGCAUACAUUGGUGGAUCUCAAACCAUUCCCAUGAAGUGUCACAUGCCUGCAGAGAGCGGUGGAAAUUAAUGCAAUGACCCAAACUCAUUUCGUGGCAGUGACAUGUCACCUUGAGCUGUUUGAAGAGGUCUGGAAGCAUCAUCUGACACUCUCAUCCCCAA